UGAUGCGAUGCAUAGUACAACAGUCAUCCUAUUUAAAAGUGCUCCCCACCCGGAAGCUUUAUUUUUAAACACUAUUCAUUCAUUCGUAAAAAUCAUUCGAAAACCAACUACUCGGAAACUCCAUUUUGAAAACCAACUACCUUGAGGGAUAGAAAACCACGAUGCAUAAAUCCAAUACCAAGGUCCAUAAAUUUUCAAUUGCAAGCAUAAUAAAGAAACCUCAACUCAAACCAAUUCACAAAUACUCAAACAGUAGUAUUGAUCAUCUAACUGAACCAUUUAAUUAUUU
rnacentral:lncRNA from 1 species